UCGAGUUACACUUGAAUUAAUUACUCUAAGAGUAAAAAAUAAAAUGAUAUUGCUGAUACAGGAAUUAUAGCUGAACUAAUUACUCUAAGAAAAUAAUACAUGCCAAAAUUAUAGCUGAUACAGGAUAAAGAACCCAUUAUUUUUUGUAACUCUGGCAAAUACAUAAAAUUUCAACUGCGGUAUACGAUACAGUGAGAUAUGUAAAGAGCUUUAUCAGAUAUCUCAGGUUUACAACUCACUAAAAUCAAAUAACAAAGUAAUUGAACAAUUCUUGACCUUAGUACAGAUUUUUUUGUGGCUAUAUAAAAUAUAAUAAUGUCAGAAAAUCUUUUGUAGUUAUAUAUCAAAGAGAUCAAAGCACACAUUAUUAACAGACCAAAAACAGGUUAAUCACAGAGGUUGUGUUAUAGGUCAGGCAUAGAUGGUUUUGUUUCAGGUCAAGUUACUGUGUAGGACAUAUAAUUGUAAUUGGUGAUGCAGAAGCAUUAAAUACACUGCUUCAGUUAGUGAGAACACAAUCUCUCUCUCUCUCUCUCUCUCUCUCUCUCUNNNN
rnacentral:lncRNA from 1 species